rnacentral:tRNA from 2 species
AUUUAUAUAGUUUAAUAAAAACAUUAUAUUUUCAAUAUAAAAAUAAAUAAUUAACUUUUUAUAAAUA